rnacentral:lncRNA from 1 species
UGAUUUUCAAUUUUUAAAUUUUGAUUAAACGGUUCGAUUUUUUAUUUUUUAAAAAUAAAAUUCGGUUAAACCGAAAAUCCAAAAUUAUAUUAAUCACAUAUAUAUAUAUAUAUAUAUAUAUGAAAAUAAAAUUUUGUUAUAAUAUAUUUAAUAUAUAAAUAAUAAAUUAAUAAAUAUAUAACCCUAAUUCUCAAAACCGAAAUCAUAUCAGUAUAUCACAAUUCAUAGGCACAGCCGCAUAGGCACAACAACCGUUUUAUCACUUUUCACAGAACUCUUUCUUUACAAAUUACAACGACACCAGAGGCGGACGAUAGACCGCCGGUGACAACGAUGCAGACUCCCUUUCUUUACAACGACACCGGAGGCAGCGAUCUGUGACUCUGGUGUUUGUGUUUUUUGACCGGUGAGUCGGUGACCGAUAUCUACUGUGGAAUAGUCGUUUGAUGAAGUGUUCGAUGGGAAAUGGAUUGUUUCUGAAGAGGAGUAUUCAGGUGAGUUUAUUGCAUUUUCUGCUGGUAUGACCCAUGUUAAUCAUGUGGAGUUAUGUUUGGAAUCCUUGUUUUAAUGCACUUGAAAUGGGAAUCACCAGUGGAUGAAAGUUCAACCAGUUCAUUGAAGACGGCACCAGUAAUUUUGUUAUGUUACAUUAUUUCUUUUGAUUUGGGUGUUCUGAUGUAACGCUGUAUCUGCAACUUAACAAAUUAAUUAUUUCGUUGUUUCCAAAUUCGAUAGGACUGUUUUUUCAAAUUCAGAAAUCAUCGACUCACUGACUGAGUAAUAAUUGCCAAAUGUAACAAUUUCUUUUAUUGGGUCUCUGAUUCUGAUUGGUGUUGUCUGGUGAAAUGUUCCAAACAAAGAAUAUGAACAUUUGUAAAUGUUGUGAACUAUAAUGGCCACUGCAUUAGUAGGGCCGUUGUAUUUAGUCUAUGAUCAAAGAUCUAAUUAAAGCAACUCAUGCUCAUAACUGACAAGUUGGAAAAAUGUUUAGAUGUGGUGAUAAAGAUAGCAUGGGAAAAUACACCUAAUGAUCAUAUACAUUUCGUUACUAUUAAAGCUUUUGGCACAAGUAUACAAAUUAACCCCACAAAGUGCAGGUGUAUGGAAGGCAGAUGUACACAAGUGUUGACCCUUAAACUUGAAGGCAGAGAUUAUUUUCGAUGCACCUUGACUCCAAUGUUAAACUUGAAGGCAGAGAUUUGAAAGAAAUCAUUUUUUCAAAAAAAAGAAUCAUCAAUUUUAAAUGCUCGGUAAUGAAAAAGGGAGUCUCUCUACUUUAAUAUUUCAAAUCGAAAUAAAAAUUCGAAAUAACCGAACUGAAUUUGUAGAAAUCGAAACAAAUUGAUUUUUUUUCGGUUUGGUUAUGGUUGUCAGUUUUGUCAAUUUGAAAAUCGAUAAACCAAAUCGAUAUUAAACGUUCAGACCGAAGCCAG